rnacentral:rRNA from 1 species
AAGCACCGGCUAACUACGUGCCAGCAGCCGCGGUAAUACGUAGGGUGCGAGCGUUAAUCGGAAUUACUGGGCGUAAAGCGGGCGCAGACGGUUACUUAAGCAGGAUGUGAAAUCCCCGGGCUCAACCUGGGAACUGCGUUCUGAACUGGGUGACUAGAGUGUGUCAGAGGGAGGUAGAAUUCCACGUGUAGCAGUGAAAUGCGUAGAGAUGUGGAGGAAUACCGAUGGCGAAGGCAGCCUCCUGGGAUAACACUGACGUUCAUGCCCGAAAGCGUGGGUAGCAAACAGGAUUAGAUACCCUGGUAGUCCACGCCCUAAACGAUGUCGAUUAGCUGUUGGGCAGCAUGACUGCUUAGUAGCGAAGCUAACGCGUGAAAUCGACCGCCUGGGGAGUACGGUCGCAAGAUUAAAACUCAAAGGAAUUGACGGGGACCCGCACAAGCGGUGGAUGAUGUGGAUUAAUUCGAUGCAACGCGAAGAACCUUACCUGGUCUUGACAUGUACGGAACCCUCCAGAGACGGAGGGGUGCCUUCGGGAGCCGUAACACAGGUGCUGCAUGGCUGUCGUCAGCUCGUGUCGUGAGAUGUUGGGUUAAGUCCCGCAACGAGCGCAACCCUUGUCAUUAGUUGCCAUCAUUAAGUUGGGCACUCUAAUGAGACUGCCGGUGACAAGCCGGAGGAAGGUGGGGAUGACGUCAAGUCCUCAUGGCCCUUAUGACCAGGGCUUCACACGUCAUACAAUGGUCGGUACAGAGGGUAGCCAAGCCGCGAGGUGGAGCCAAUCUCACAAAACCGAUCGUAGUCCGGAUUGCACUCUGCAACUCGAGUGCAUGAAGUCGGAAUCGCUAGUAAUCGCAGGUCAGCAUACUGCGGUGAAUACGUUCCCGGGUCUUGUACACACCGCCCGUCACACCAUGGGAGUGGGGGAUACCAGAAGUAGGUAGGGUAACCGCAAGGAGCCCGCUUACCACGGUAUGCUUCAUGACUGGGGUGAAGUCGUAACAAGGUAGCCGUAGGGGAACCUGCGGCUG